UACGUAGGGGGCAAGCGUUGUCCGGAUUUAUUGGGCGUAAAGAGCGUGUAGGCGGCCUGGUAGGUCAGCUGUGAAAACUCGAGGCUCAACCUCGAGACGCCGGUUGAAACCAUCAGGCUAGAGUCCGGAAGAGGAGAGUGGAAUUCCCGGUGUAGCGGUGAAAUGCGCAGAUAUCAGGAGGAACACCAAUUGCGAAGGCAGCUCGCUGGGACGUUACUGACGCUGAGACGCGAAAGCGUGGGGAGCAAACAGG
rnacentral:rRNA from 1 species